rnacentral:rRNA from 1 species
UACGAGGGGGACUAGCGUUGUCCGGAUUUACUGGGCGUAAAGGGCGCGUAGGCGGCGCAACAAGUCACUUGUGAAAUCUCCGGGCUUAACCCGGAGCGGUCAAGUGAUACUGUCGUGCUAGAGUGCGGAAGGGCUACUGGAAUUCUCGGUGUAGCGGUGAAAUGCGUAGAUAUUGGGAGGAACACCAGUGGCGAAGGCGGCUCACUGGACCGGUACUGACGCUGAUGCGCGAAAGCGUGGGAGCAAACGGG